rnacentral:misc_RNA from 1 species
UAACCCUCAAGCCUAGCUUGGUGUUGGAGCAUGCCCUUUAGCAGCUUCUAAAAUCAGUGGCAGUGCCUUCUAGCUCUAAGCGUAGUAACUUUUCUCGCUAUAGGGCCUAGAGGACCGCUUGCCAAAACCCCCAAUUUUCUAU